AACGGUUUAUAUCGUUUAUUCACCCUAAAACAGCUACCCUAGGGUGUAUACUCGGAAACGUGUGAUCAUCUAUUCACCUCACACUAA